GAGAUCUGGUUGUAAAAGAAUUUACUGCUAGUAGCGAAAAAAAGCGUUCGAAGGGCUAGAGAGGGGGAAGACUGAAAAUAGUUUGUAAAGUAGCAUACCUUCUUACCGAUUGUGCUCUCGGCCCAGGAGGCCUUUUUAAAUUUAGUUCCUGCAUAAGGCGUAUAGAUGGCAGCAGCAUUGCACCGCGGUGUCAUGGCGGCCAUGUUGCCAAGCAAUAAAAUGGGAGUUUCAAGGGGCCUUGGGCGUAAAGAGGUUAUGAAAACAUGGCAGUCAUAACUGAAAAGUAGGCUAUGAACGUGAGGGGCAAGCUACUGAAAAAACACCCUGGACAUACAUACGUUUAUGAAAAAUGGACGACACCCCAUCUGAUGUGAAAAAAAGAAAAUGCAUCAAAAUAAGAUUGAAUGAUAAAUGAGGGUAACAUUUUGAUGUCCAGACCUCUGCAAAUGAGUGAGCAGGGCAUGCAGGCCGCGUUGCAGCCAGCAAGUGUUUCCGUCUUCAUAUAGCCUGGGCAUACAAACACGAAUUAGAAGAUAACAUGGUGCCAGAGAUUCAGCGUAUUAACUUGGGCAAUGCUGUUUAAAGGCUCUAGGAAUUGGUGACCAUGUACAUUUUCUCCUUUUUGGAUCCUCCACCUCAUUAGACACUGGUGAGAAAACUGUUCUAACACUGAUUUAUUAACAAAUUGGUGAGAAUGAGAUGUGGAUGGCAUAUACAUCCUUACAGGUGUAAUUUUCUUUGCUGUAUGUUAGUUUGAAGGAAACUGACCACAAUAAUAUUACUGGUCUAACCAAUGAUGUAAGUCUCAGGAAGGUAAACUGUUACUCUGCUUAUGAGUUAUACUAUACUGAGGCGACAGGAGGAGGUCUCAUGUUUGGCAGAGAUGACGCUGCUCGAAGCAUCCCAAUAUCUUCCUGCUGUUCAGUUCCUCUCCAACUCCACAGCUGCUUGUUUUGUCUUUCUUCUUUUAUGUGAGUACUUUACAACAGUCAGUAACUUGACUGUAUAGCAUGGAAUGGUAGGAUGACUGGUGAAUGAUGAAUUGGAAAGGAUCUGGAAAGAAGCAGCCUGACCUCCGAUGAGGUACUGUCUCAGCAUGUGUUUGGGAGGACUGAGGAAAACCAUGAAGAACCUGUCAGGAUAGGUGGUGUCAUGGAUGAGAUUUCAACUGAGCUCCUUGUGAAUACGGUCUACAGCGUUAGCGAUGUGUGAACCCAUUCGAUUCCAAUACACUUGUCAUUAGUGAAGUUAUCCCUUCCAACUUUGCAGUGAACAAAAUGGCUAGAAGACUGGAGGUGAGUAUGUGAAGUGUGCUGCUGGAAGGUGAAGCAUACCAGCUCAAGGGAGAUGCGGAGGGCGGUCAAGCUAUGUGACUACUUUCUUUCCUUGGUCUCAGUAUAAUAACUUUAUCUUCCAGUACUUACCAUCUGAUAGUUUCAGGAUAGGAAGAAAGUACAUAAUUUCCUGGCUUUGCACAGUGUUCCGGGAAAGACUUUAAAUAAGAUCGCUAUCAGCUGAAGGCAAGAUGUUACUUUAUGAUUUUACAGAGUAAAAGCUUGGACAGCAGCUUGUGUUUUAUACCCCUCAUACGCAGUAUUACAGAAGUAGAGCUCAGACCCUGAUGAUCAAAUAAAUCAUUUGCAGUUUCUGUGUUGAGAGUGUAGGAAUGUUGUAAUAUUGAGAUAUAACACUUUGUGAACUCUGGGUGAUAUAAAAUUUUAAAGUUUGAAUGUGCUACUUUAACAUGACUGUAAUAGAAAAAUAAUUUUUAACCUAUAUUGGUUGGGAGGAAGGGAUUUCAAAUCUCCCAGAGCUGUAAGGCAAGUCACCGUAUUUUACUAGCGGUAAUGAUAUUUAUAAACAUACAGUGCACUGCUCAGCUAGCUGGAUUGCAUGCAUCUCUUCGGUAAUGCAGCAUUCAUCUUGUAGAGGUCAGUCUGGCAGAAGGGAACAUGAAUUAUAAUUUAUACCACAUACUGUGGAGUGUGUUAUUUUCCCCAGAAUGUUCUGCUUUAUGGCAGGUAUUGGCAUUACAGCAGUUACAUGCACUUGGGCCACUCAACCAUCAUGGAGAACUAACAAAACUGGGCCAUCGAAUGGCUGAAUUUCCUGUUGAUCCCGUGAUGGCAAAAAUGAUCCUUGCAUCAGAAAAGUAAGUUACUUGAUAUGCCAGUAUGCAGUUAACAGUUCUAAUUCAUAUUCUGCUCCUAUUUUUGCUAUAAGCACUUAGAAGUCUUAGUACAGGCAUGUCAAACUCAACUUGUACAGAGGGCCACCUCAGCCCUAUAAAUAAUAGUCCAGGGCCGCACUUCAAAAUAGAAAUAUACUGUCGUAUCCCGAGCUGAAGGUCUUGGGCCCUUGACCAGGCAGCUGGAAUACUCACCUACAGAUGAGCCGAGUGGAUGCUGAUCUGCUCAGGUUGCC